UAGCCGUAAACGAUACUCGCUAGGUGUCGGCCACGGUGCGACCGUUGUCGGUGCCGUAGGGAAGCCGUGAAGCGAGCCACCUGGGAAGUACGGCCGCAAGGCUGAAACUUAAAGGAAUUGGCGGGGGAGCACCACAAGAGGUGGAGGCUGCGGUUCAAUUGGAUUCAACGCCGGAAAUCUUACCGGGACCGACAGCAACAUGAAGGCCAGGCUGAAGACUUUGCCGGAUUAGCUGAGAGGAGGUGCAUGGCGUAGUCGUGU
rnacentral:rRNA from 1 species